CAAUCUAUGCAAAGCUGCGCCAGUGUUUGUACGCAGUGGAACCCCCGAUGAACAUAAUCACGGGUGAAUGAUGGGUUGGCAUGAACUACAAAUUACUAACAGUUUUAGAAUUAGAAUGUAAUGAAUGUGUUGGUUUUGGAAUGUGAUU